GGGACAGUGAGCCACGCCACUGGACAUUAGGCUUGGCAGCGUAGCCUAUUCCUCCCAAUGAGACACUAGCACAGGUAAGCUGAGGUCUGUUAGUGGGUCUCGCUUCUGGAGUCCACUCUCUUAGAACCCAGCUAUGACAUGAGGAAGGAAGUCCUAGUAGCCACGAGAAAAGGCCUUGCUGACGGCCAUAGACAGUCCCAGCAAGUAGGCAGUAUUUUUAACCUUCUAGCCAACCCAACACUGACACCACCUGAAGGCAAAUUUUCUUAAUCUUUACAGAUUGCAAAGCUUUGAUGUCCUAAAGCACGGAAUUGUGGGUGCUUUGUUGUGCCGCAGUGGGCAGUGAUGAGGAGAUAGCGACAGGAGAGACCAGAGGAACCUAAUCCUGACCUAUCCAAGGCUUCCUGUGGGAGAAGACAAGAAGACCAGGGUCAGAGGCCACAGGAGCAGGGCUUGGCAUGCCUGUCCUCUUCCCUACAAGACUAGGAAAUGGCCUGAAGUAAUGGCUUCCUGUUUCCCAAUCAGGAUCUGUAAGAAUAUAGGUGAUCUGCCAAGGGAGUGCUUAGAGGAGGGUGUAGGGACCCCAGCCUAAAGUGCUGAAGUGUCCUAUCCCUUAGAACAAGGCCUGCUUGGUUCUAUGCGCAACGCUAAGCCUACUACUACUUCUCGGUAACAUUCUUUUAGAUCCUGCCUGCUUACACAAAACUCUCUGCUGACCUGUCAGCUAAAGAAGGCCUGCCCAGCAACCCACACACCUGCAAAGACACAAAAGUGUGCAUAUUGACCACCACAGUCCUCUAUUCAUAAAUAUAAGCAAAACCCAAGGAUUUCCAAAUACGUCAGGAAAACCAACAGCACAGAAGACAGGUCCAAAAAGAACCAACCAGGAGGCUGACCGUGGAGGAAACGGGCAACUUAAAGAAGAGUGUAGUCCAAAACUAGUUACCAUCUGCAGGGAUCUGAGGCAUCUUAAAAGCAGGAAGAGGUGGGAAAGGGACAAAAAAACAACAACAAAGCAGUUGGCCCAGGAAUUUCAGGAUGUAAGAAAAACAAAGGGCCAGAAGUAUUAAAGGGAGAGAAAACUAGAGCUCCAUCAACUGUGUGAUUAGGAAAAGACCAGACAUCCUCCCACAUCCCUUCCCAGUCUGAGACUAUAGACGUGUACUACCACGCCUGAGUGAACACUUACUUAAUUAAGUCCGUGAGUCCUUAAGACUGAAAAACCUCACUGGAUAGGAUUAGGAAAAAAUAAACUCCCCGUGUCCCUCAACCUGGUCUGCUCGCUUCUAUUCUCCACAGGCCUGUCCAUCACUAGCAUGCUGCACACUUUUCUUAUGCAUUACACAUAUCGGCUAUGCCCUGUCUCCCCCUACGAUUCUGCCAGCUCCAGGAAAACAGGAACUGCUGCCUGACUUAUUCACUAACAAACAUCUUUUUGUGCCUAGACUCAAAAAAUGCCAACAAAGAUUUAUUGAAUUAAAUUAAACCUGGGUGCAGAGAGCAAUGUCUUAUAACUCCAGUUAUAAGAAGAAAAUCAUGAAAACUUUGGUGUUUCCUUCAAGAGAAUGGAAAGCAGAGCUAUCACCGAACACAGAGAGCUUUAGGUCCUAGCAAACAGAGUCAGCAAGUUAGAGGACAUUGGUCCCAGAAUAAUGAACUCUGCCAAAACAGCUACUGUCAAGUGCUAAAGAGUACAUUUCCAAACAUGCUAUAACCCAGGAUAUUUACUAUCCAUACUCCCUAGGUAGGAAAAUGAAUCAACAAUACUGUUCAGUAAAAAUCAAAGGCGGUCCAAGAAAGAAGACAACAUGGAAACAAGAAACUGAAAUUCCAAGGAUUGAAGGAAGCCAGAACUUAAGGGACACUCAGAGAAUCUGCUUAGAGCAGCACAAUGUAAUGACAUGACUUUUCACAUUUAUAAAUGUCCUCUGGCUCUGCUCACACUGCGUCUGUUCCCCACGCUCCCCACAGAGGCAGUGGCCCUCCCCCUCACAGACAGCCUUUCCUGGAUGGCUGAACUGCAGAACUUCAUGAUGUUGAUUAAAGUGGUGGCCGAGAAUGGCUUACCUACAAAAAUAAGACUUUAACUGUGAAAUCAACAAACAGCCGGGUAACAAAGAUAGAGGCACGGCAAAUGCUUCCAAAUGGGUCAGCCUGGCCUAUAGUCAGGAA
rnacentral:lncRNA from 1 species